rnacentral:rRNA from 1 species
UACGUAGGGUGCGAGCGUUGUUCGGAAUUAUUGGGCGUAAAGGGCGCGUAGGCGGUUCGGCAAGUCUCUAGUGAAAUCUCUGGGCUCAACUCAGAGUCUGCUGGGGAAACUGCCGGGCUUGAGUGUGGGAGAGGAGAGUGGAAUUCCCGGUGUAGCGGUGAAAUGCGUGAGAUAUCUGGAGGAACACCGGUGGCGAAGGCGGCAUCCUGGACCGGUAUUGACGCUGAGGCGGCGAAAAGCCAGGGGAGCAAACGGG